rnacentral:misc_RNA from 1 species
AAGUCGUAACAAGGUUUCCGUAGGUGAACCUGCGGAAGGAUCAUUAACAAAACGUUUUCACGAACGUUUUCUUAUUUUCUUCUUUCACACUCCGUGCUAUUCAUCUCCCUAUUCUCCUCAUCGGAGGGCAGGUUGAAUCUAAUCUCUGGUUCUCAACUUGUUAAAGAGUGUUUGGUUUGCCCAGCAUUCCUUUUCAGUUGUGACCUGCCAGAGAUUAACCCCUUUACACUUUUUUCACCUUUCCAUACCCAUUCUACCAUUUCUGAUUCAACACGAUUGAAUCUUGUUUAUUUUUUCUCGAAAAAAAUAAAUCUCAUACAACUCUUAGCAAUGGAUAUCUAGGUUCUC